GAGGAGAACCUCGUCCUAACAUGAGCAAAGUCGAAGACCCAGUUAUUAAGAGACCGGAUGGGGGGAGAGGCCCUCGCAAUGGCCCUUAUGUGCCCCCACAGCCCUAUUAGGAAUAGAAGAAAAAUCUCAUCCUAACAUGAGCUGAAAUUGACUGUGUCGGAAACAGGAGGAGAACCUCAUCCUGACACAAAUGAAGACCUGAUCGUUUAAGAUCGGAUAAGAAAAAAAGCCUUCUCAACGGCUCCUCUACACCCCUACAAGCCCAUUAGGAGCAGAGGAAAAAUCCUCAUCCAAAUAUUAAAAAAAAAAGAGAGAGAAAAAGAAAAAGUGAUGAGCUACACCAG
rnacentral:lncRNA from 1 species